CCUGACGCCGCGCUGGGCGGGCCCGGGCCCGGGGCUUCCCCAACGAGGUCGCUCCCGGGGAGGCGUCGCCGCGCGCAGAAGUCGGGUCGCCCGCACUUGACUUUUGUCAACCAUAGGUGUGCGGGGCUGGGGCUCAGUGGCGGAGCGCUGGCCUCGCACGUGUGAGGCCCUGGGUUGCGUCCUCAGCACCCCAUGAAAAUACAUAAAUAAGUAUUGUGUAAAAAAUAAAUAAGUAUGCGGUCGGCGCGGAGGCUCACGCCCUAACCCCAGCGGAUCGCAAUCGGGCGCGAGGGUCGCGAGAUGAACGCCAGCCUCAGCCCGAGCGGAACCGAGCGACUCACUGAGACCUGUCUCCAGAUAGACUACAAAACGGGGGGGCCCCCUUCAAAAAAGAAUGCCCCCGGCGGGGUGGCACAGGCCUGUAGCCCAGCUACUUGGCACGCGGAGGCAGGAAGGAGUGUCGCAGUUUUGAAGCAGCCUCUGCAAUUUCAGGAGACCCAGUCUCAAAAUGUAAGAAGGGCUGGGUGGGGACGUGGCUCAGGGUAAAGCGCCCCCGGGGUUCAGUCCCCACAAAGAAAAAAAGGAGCAAAGGGAGAGAGAAAAAAUAGGCACGCUAGAAUUAUGCUUAACCGGAAGCGGGGCGUCUUCACUCAGCUCAAAUUGGGCCUUUCCUGAACACCAGCAUUAGCCGUCUCUCCCUAAUCUUUUUUCUCAUCUAACAGCGGUACACACCAGGUGUGGUGGUGCACACCUGUGGUCCCGGGAUUUAUUCUGGAGAAUUCAAGGCCAUCUUUCUACAGUGAUACAUGCAUACCCAUGUUUAUAGCAACCCAAUUCACAAUAGCCAAACCAUGUCCAUCAGUGGGUGAAUGAAUAAAACAAUGUGCUAUGCAGACACAAUGGAGUUUUUUGUUUUAAAGAGAGAAUUUUUUUAAUAUUUAUUUUUUAGUUUUCGGUGGACACAACAUCUUUAUUUUAUUUUUAUGUGGUGCUGAGGAUCAAACCCAGCGCCCCGGCGCAUGCCAGGCGAGCGCGACCGCUGGAGCCACAUCCCCAGCCCACACAAUGGAGUUUUAUUCAGCCAUGAAGAAGAAUGAAAUUAUGGGAUUUGCAAGAAAAUGGAUAGAACUUGAGACCAUGAUGUUAAGUGAAAUAAGUCAAACUCAGAAGGUCAAGGAUCACAUAUUUUCUCCCAUGUGGAAGCUAGGAAAAAGCAAAAGAAAGGUGAGUGGUGGGAUCUCAUGAAAAUCAAAAGGAGGUCAGUGGCAGAAAGGAACCAAGGGGUGGGAGGUAGGGAGAGAGUGGGGAAAUACUGGGGAGUGAUAUUGGCCAAACUAUAUUGUUAUACUAUGUGAAUAUGUAACAACAAAUUCCAUCAAUAUGUACUAUUAUAAUGCACCAAUUAAAAAUGUGGAAAAAAAUAAAGUCAAACUGCCUUGAUUUGUAGUCUAG
rnacentral:lncRNA from 1 species